UACAGAGACCUCAAGCGUUAUCCGGAAUCAUUGGGCGUAAAGCGUGCCGAUAGGGGGUUUUGAAAGUCUUGUGUAAAAGCCAGAAGCUUAACUUCUGAGUUUGCUUAAGAUACUGCAAAACUAGAGGGUCAAAGAGGUGCUUGGAACGAACGGUGUAGUAGUGAAAUGCGUUGAUAUCGUUCGGAACACCGAAAGCGAAGGCAGAGCACUGGGUGCCACCUGACACUGCUAGGACGAAAGCGUGGGGAGCGAAUGGG
rnacentral:rRNA from 1 species